rnacentral:rRNA from 1 species
AUUGAACGCUGGCGGCAGGCUUAACACAUGCAAGUCGAGCGGGGUGAUGGUGCUUGCACUAUCACUUAGCGGCGGACGGGUGUGUAAUGCUUAGGAAUCUGCCUAUUAGUGGGGGACAACAUCUCGAAAGGGAUGCUAAUACCGCAUACGUCCUACGGGAGAAAGCAGGGGGUCACUUGUGACCUUGCGCUAAUAGAUGAGCCUAAGUCGGAUUAGCUAGUUGGUGGGGUAAAGGCCUACCAAGGCGACGAUCUGUAGCGGGUCUGAGAGGAUGAUCCGCCACACUGGGACUGCGACACGGCCCAGACUCCUACGGGAGGCAGCAGUGGGGAAUAUUGGACAAUGGGGGGAACCCUGAUCUAGCCAUGCCGCGUGUGUGAAGAAGGCCUUAUGGUUGUAAAGCACUUUAAGCGAGGAGGAGGCUCUUUUGGUUAAUACCCAAGAUGAGUGGACGUUACUCGCAGAAUAAGCACCGGCUAACUCUGUGCCAGCCGCCGCCGUAA